UGGGUGAGUAACACGUGGGGAACCUGCCCCAUAGUCUGGGAUACCACUUGGAAACAGGUGCUAAUACCGGAUAAGAAAGCGGAUCGCAUGAUCAGCUUUUAAAAGGCGGCGUAAGCUGUCGCUAUGGGAUGGCCCCGCGGUGCAUUAGCUAGUUGGUAAGGUAAAGGCUUACCAAGGCGAUGAUGCAUAGCCGAGUUGAGAGACUGAUCGGCCACAUUGGGACUGAGACACGGCCCAAACUCCUACGGGCAGAU
rnacentral:rRNA from 1 species